rnacentral:rRNA from 1 species
UACGUAGGGGGCAAGCGUUAUCCGGAUUUACUGGGUGUAAAGGGAGCGCAGACGGCAGUGCAAGUCUGGAGUGAAAGCCCGGGGCCCAACCCCGGGACUGCUCUGGAAACUGUACGGCUGGAGUACGGGAGGGGCAGGCGGAAUUCCUAGUGUAGCGGUGAAAUGCGUAGAUAUUAGGAGGAACACCGGCGGUGAAGGCGGCCUGCUGGACCGAAACUGACGUUGAGGCUCGAAAGCGUGGGGAGCAAACAGG